GUGCUUGCUUUGUCAGCACAUAUAUUAAAAUUGAAACUAUACAAAGAAGAGUAGCAUGGACCCUGCACAAGGAUGACACCCAAAUUCAUGAAGCAUUCCAAAAUAAA
rnacentral:snRNA from 1 species